rnacentral:rRNA from 1 species
GGUGAAAAGCACCCCGGAAGGGGAGUGAAAUAGAACCUGAAACCGUGUGCUUACAAGUAGUCAGAGCCCGUUAAUGGGUGAUGGCGUGCCUUUUGUAGAAUGAACCGGCGAGUUACGAUUUGAUGCAAGGUUAAGCAGUAAAUGUGGAGCCGUAGCGAAAGCGAGUCUGAAUAGGGCGUUUAGUAUUUGGUCGUAGACCCGAAACCAGGUGAUCUACCCUUGGUCAGGUUGAAGUUCAGGUAACACUGAAUGGAGGACCGAACCGACUUACGUUGAAAAGUGAGCGGAUGAACUGAGGGUAGCGGAGAAAUUCCAAUCGAACCUGGAGAUAGCUGGUUCUCUCCGAAAUAGCUUUAGGGCUAGCCUCAAGUGAUGAUUAUUGGAGGUAGAGCACUGUUUGGACGAGGGGCCCCUCUCGGGUUACCGA